rnacentral:rRNA from 1 species
GAUGAACGCUGGCGGCGUGCUUAACACAUGCAAGUCGAACGGUGAACGAGGGAGCUUGCUCCCUCCGGAUCAGUGGCGAACGGGUGAGUAACACGUGAGCAAUCUGCCCUGGACUCUGGGAUAAGCGUUGGAAACGACGUCUAAUACCGGAUACGAGGCGUGGGGGCAUCCCCAACGCCUGGAAAGAACUUCGGUCCAGGAUGAGCUCGCGGCCUAUCAGCUUGUUGGUGAGGUAACGGCUCACCAAGGCGACGACGGGUAGCCGGCCUGAGAGGGUGACCGGCCACACUGGGACUGAGACACGGCCCAGACUCCUACGGGAGGCAGCAGUGGGGAAUAUUGCACAAUGGGCGCAAGCCUGAUGCAGCAACGCCGCGUGAGGGACGACGGCCUUCGGGUUGUAAACCUCUUUUAGCAGGGAAGAAGCGAAAGUGACGGUACCUGCAGAAAAAGGACCGGCCAACUACGUGCCAGCAGCCGCGGUAAUAC